rnacentral:rRNA from 1 species
GAUGAACGCUGGCGGCGUGCCUAAUACAUGCAAGUCGAGCGAACGGACGAGAAGCUUGCUUCUCUGAUGUUAGCGGCGGACGGGUGAGUAACACGUGGAUAACCUACCUAUAAUACUUGGAUAACUUCGGGAAACCGGAGCUAAUACCGGAUAAUAUUUUGAACCGCAUGGUUCAAAAGUUAAUGACGGCCUUGCUGUCACUUAUAGACGAUUCCGCGCUGGAUUAGCUAGUUGGUAAGGUAACGGCUUACCAAGGCGACGAUGCGUAGCCGACCUGAGAGGGUGAUCGGCCACACUGGAACUGAGACACGGUCCAGACUCCUACGGGAGGCAGCAGUAGGGAAUCUUGCGCAAUGGGCGAAAGCCUGACGGAGCAACGCCGCGUGAGUGAUGAAGGUCUUCGGAUCGUAAAACUCUGUUAUUAGGGAAGAACAUAUGUGUAAGUAACUGUGCACGUCUUGACGGUACCUAAUCAGAAAGCCACGGCUAACUACGUG